UCUGGCGGCUUUAGCGCGGUGGUCCCACCUGACCCCAUGCCGAACUCAGAAGUGAAACGCCGUAGCGCCGAUGGUAGUAAAGACGGACGCGGGGUGGAGCAGCCUGGUAGCUCGUCGGGC
rnacentral:rRNA from 1 species